CUGCGGCAGCGACACUGUGUGUUGUUGGGUAGGGGAGCGUUCUGUAAGCCUGUGAAGGUGGCCUGUGAGGGUUGCUGGAGGUAUCAGAAGUGCGAAUGCUGACAUAAGUAACGAUAAAGCGGGUGAAAAGCCCGCUCGCCGGAAGACCAAGGGUUCCUGUCCAACGUUAAUCGGGGCAGGGUGAGUCGACCCCUAAGGCGAGGCCGAAAGGCGUAGUCGAUGGGAAACGGGUUAAUAUUCCCGUACUUGGUGUUACUGCGAAGGGGGGACGGAGAAGGCUAUGUUGGCCGGGCGACGGUUGUCCCGGUUUAAGCGUGUAGGCUGGUUUUCCAGGCAAAUCCGGAAAAUCAAGGCUGAGGCGUGACGACGAGGCACUACGGUGCUGAAGCAACAAAUGCCCUGCUUCCAGGAAAAGCCUCUAAGCAUCAGGUAACACGAAAUCGUACCCCAAACCGACACAGGUGGUCAGGUAGAGAAUACCAAGGCGCUUGAGAGAACUCGGGUGAAGGAACUAGGCAAAAUGGUGCCGUAACUUCGGGAGAAGGCACGCUGACACGUAGGUGAAGUGAUUUACUCAUGGAGCUGAAGUCAGUCGAAGAUACCAGCUGGCUGCAACUGUUUAUUAAAAACACAGCACUGUGCAAACACGAAAGUGGACGUAUACGGUGUGACGCCUGCCCGGUGCCGGAAGGUUAAUUGAUGGGGUCAGCGCAAGCGAAGCUCCUGAUCGAAGCCCCGGUAAACGGCGGCCGUAACUAUAACGGUCCUAAGGUAGCGAAAUUCCUUGUCGGGUAAGUUCCGACCUGCACGAAUGGCGUAAUGAUGGCCAGGCUGUCUCCACCCGAGACUCAGUGAAAUUGAACUCGCUGUGAAGAUGCAGUGUACCCGCGGCAAGACGGAAAGACCCCGUGAACCUUUACUAUAGCUUGACACUGAACAUUGAGCCUUGAUGUGUAGGAUAGGUGGGAGGCUUUGAAGUGUGGACGCCAGUCUGCAUGGAGCCGACCUUGAAAUACCACCCUUUAAUGUUUGAUGUUCUAACGUGGACCCGUAAUCCGGGUUGCGGACAGUGUCUGGUGGGUAGUUUGACUGGGGCGGUCUCCUCCUAAAGAGUAACGGAGGAGCACGAAGGUUGGCUAAUCCUGGUCGGACAUCAGGAGGUUAGUGCAAUGGCAUAAGCCAGCUUGACUGCGAGCGUGACGGCGCGAGCAGGUGCGAAAGCAGGUCAUAGUGAUCCGGUGGUUCUGAAUGGAAGGGCCAUCGCUCAACGGAUAAAAGGUACUCCGGGGAUAACAGGCUGAUACCGCCCAAGAGUUCAUAUCGACGGCGGUGUUUGGCACCUCGAUGUCGGCUCAUCACAUCCUGGGGCUGAAGUAGGUCCCAAGGGUAUGGCUGUUCGCCAUUUAAAGUGGUACGCGAGCUGGGUUUAGAACGUCGUGAGACAGUUCGGUCCCUAUCUGCCGUGGGCGCUGGAGAACUGAGGGGGGCUGCUCCUAGUACGAGAGGACCGGAGUGGACGCAUCACUGGUGUUCGGGUUGUCAUGCCAAUGGCACUGCCCGGUAGCUAAAUGCGGAAGAGAUAAGUGCUGAAAGCAUCUAAGCACGAAACUUGCCCCGA
rnacentral:rRNA from 1 species